UCGCUCCUGAUCCGCCAGCGGGUUGACGCUGAUGACGCCGCCUCCAGGAGAUCCACCGACACUCGCCGCUGCAGCCGAGGAUCCCAAGGUGGUCGAUAACGACGACGCCGGGAACAGUAGAGGAGAAGCGGGUGCUCACUAGUGAGCCUGAGCAGGGCAGAAGGGAGGAGGAGGCCACCACAUCUGAGCUAUCUAUUUGUCUAUCUCUGAGCUUGGAUGCCUGCCCAGUUCGUUCAAUUCGGAUCCGAUUCACGGGUCUGAGAUUGCGAGAGAUUUAGGCUUUUUUCAGUGAGAUUGAUGCUUGCUUUAUCUGUGAAACUUUGAUGGUGGCUUCUGUCAUGUAUACAAGUGCUUGAGCAGUUGUGUCCAAAUAGUUGUGCUGUAAUUCUUACUUUAUUGAAUUCGCAAUCUGGAAUCA